CAGUCGCCGCGGUAAUACGCAGGGGGCUAGCGUUGCUCGGAAUUACUGGGCGUAAAGGGAGCGUAGGCGGGUCGUUUAGUCAGAGGUGAAAUCCCGGGGCUCAACCUCGGAACUGCCUUUGAUACUGGCGACCUUGAGUAUGGGAGAGGUAAGCGGAACUCCGAGUGUAGAGGUGAAAUUCGUAGAUAUUCGGAAGAACACCAGUGGCGAAGGCGGCUUACUGGCCCAUUACCGACGCUGAGGCUCGAAAGCGUGGGGAGCAAACAGGAUUAGAUACCCCCGUAGUCCCUGUCUCUUAUAC
rnacentral:rRNA from 1 species